AUACUUACCUGGCAGGGGAGAUACCAUGAUCACGAAGGUGGUUUUCCCAGGGCGAGGCUUAUCCAUUGCACUCCGGAUGUGCUGACCC
rnacentral:snRNA from 1 species